GAAUCUGAUCUGUGUUUAUUCGAAAAAACACAUGCUUGAUGAUCCAGAACUUAUGGAGAUCAAAAGAAAAGCAAAUACACCAAGUCUGAAGGAAAUGGCUACGCUUUUAAGGAGUGCAUCACAAAUAAUUUGGAUUGACCAGUUGCCAACUCUGUGGAUUGGGAAUUGACGUGGUCGAAGCAUAUAUAAGAAAUAGCAUCAGAGUCACUUUGGUGGCUGGAGUGUGUGAAGCAUAGUGACUAAUUUUAGUUCAUUGGUUCAAAUGGUAAUGCAAUGCAGCCUUAAUGCAGUUGUGUAUGGGAGUAACUGUUGGAUCAGGGCAUACAUUCUUACCUUAUAAUUAUUUGCUCUAAGUUUUCAUGAUUUUCCAUGCCUUGGGCUUUCAUUGUCAGCUUCUUGAUGCCACAAAAAGCUAAAAUAAUCUAACAUUGUGGACAGUUGCAAAAAGCUUUUAUAACAGUGCCUCACCAACUAGUACCUUUGAAUUUUAUUUUUGGUGUUGUGCCUCUCAAUGCUUCGCUCCAAAUGGAUAUUGGGUUAGUCUCGUGGAGGAUUGUAUCUGACAUUACUAAGGAUAGGAAGGUCCUUAAGAAGAUCUUGAAGGAAGGAGAGAGAUAUGAAAGACCAAAUGAUGGAGCUAUGGUUCUAGGUACAGUUUUGCUAAUAAAAGCUUUUAAAGGUUUUUGUACUUUGAUUUCAUUUGUAAAGUUGAGAAUAUUAUGUCUUCAUUUUCUUUAGGUUUUUUAGUUUUGACAAAGUUGGAAGAUAUACUUGAUUACUUAUAUAAUGCUAACAUGUGUUUAGUUACUUUGUUAUGCUUAAAAUUUAGUCUUGUAGUUGUAAAUCAUGUUCAUUUAAUUAGGCUUAUUUCGAUUUUUUAAUAGAUGAUAAAUAAUUUAUAAGUAGCUUUAAUUUUGGGCAUGAAUUUAUAAUCAGCAUUUUAUAAUUAUAUAUUUUUUUUUAAAAGCUUGGAUUUGGCUGCGAAAUCGCUAGGAAUGUGUAGCUAGAGAUUUAUUGC